UGGGGAAUUUUGGACAAUGGGCGAAAGCCUGAUCCAGCAAUGCCGCGUGUGUGAAGAAGGCCUUCGGGUUGUAAAGCACUUUUGUCCGGAAAGAAAUCCUUGGCUCUAAUACAGUCGGGGGAUGACGGUACCGGAAGAAUAAGCACCGGCUAACUACGUGCCAGCAGCCGCGGUAAUACGUAGGGUGCAAGCGUUAAUCGGAAUUACUGGGCGUAAAGCGUGCGCAGGCGGUUUGCUAAGACCGAUGUGAAAUCCCCGGGCUCAACCUGGGAACUGCAUUGGUGACUGGCAGGCUAGAGUAUGGCAGAGGGGGGUAGAAUUCCACGUGUAGCAGUGAAAUGCGUAGAGAUGUGGAGGAAUACCGAUGGCGAAGGCGGCCCCCUGGGCCAAUACUGACGCUCAUGCACGAAAGCGUGGGGAGCAAAACAGGAUUAGAUACCCUGGUAGUCCACGCCCUAAAACGAUGUCAACUAGUUGUUGGGGAUUCAUUUCCUUAGUAACGUAGCUAACGCGUGAAGUUGACCGCCUGGGGAGUACGGUCGCAAGAUUAAAACUUAAAUGAAUUGACGGGGUCAUA
rnacentral:rRNA from 1 species